UACGUAGGGGGCAAGCGUUGUCCGGAUUUAUUGGGCGUAAAGAGCGUGUAGGCGGCCAGAUAGGUCAGCUGUGAAAACUCGAGGCUCAACCUCGAGACGUCGGUUGAAACCAUCUGGCUAGAGUCCGGAAGAGGAGAGUGGAAUUCCCGGUGUAGCGGUGAAAUGCGCAGAUAUCAGGAGGAACACCAAUAGCGAAGGCAGCUCGCUGGGACGGUACUGACGCUAAGGCGCGAAAGCGUGGGGAGCGAACAGG
rnacentral:rRNA from 1 species